GACAGAGGAUGCAAACGUUGCUCGGAAUUACUGGGCGUAAAGCGCGUGUAGGCGGUCUGGUAAGUCGGACGUGAAAUCCCGGGGCUCAACCCCCGGAAGUGCGCUCGAUACUGCCGGACUUGGGUUCUGAAGAGGAGAGCGGAAUUCCCGGUGUAGAGGUGAAAUUCGUAGAUAUCGGGAGGAACACCAGUGGCGAAGGCGGCUCUCUGGGCCUUACCUGACGCUCAGGUGCGAAAGCUAGGGGGAGCAAACAGG
rnacentral:rRNA from 1 species